AUUGAACGCUGGCGGCAGGCCUAACACAUGCAAGUCGAGCGGAUGAAGGGAGCUUGCUCCUGGAUUCAGCGGCGGACGGGUGAGUAAUGCCUAGGAAUCUGCCUGGUAGUGGGGGAUAACGUCCGGAAACGGGCGCUAAUACCGCAUACGUCCUGAGGGAGAAAGUGGGGGAUCUUCGGACCUCACGCUAUCAGAUGAGCCUAGGUCGGAUUAGCUAGUUGGUGGGGUAAAGGCCUACCAAGGCGACGAUCCGUAACUGGUCUGAGAGGAUGAUCAGUCUCACUGGAACUGAGACACGGUCCAGACUCCUACGGGAGGCAGCAGUGGGGAAUAUUGGACAAUGGGCGAAAGCCUGAUCCAGCCAUGCCGCGUGUGUGAAGAAGGUCUUCGGAUUGUAAAGCACUUUAAGUUGGGAGGAAGGGCAGUAAGUUAAUACCUUGCUGUUUUGACGUUACCAACAGAAUAAGCACCGGCUAACUUCGUG
rnacentral:rRNA from 1 species